GACGAACGCUGGCGGCGUGCUUAACACAUGCAAGUCGAACGGAAAGGCCCUGCUUGCAGGGUACUCGAGUGGCGAACGGGUGAGUAACACGUGGGUGAUCUGCCCUGCACUUCGGGAUAAGCCUGGGAAACUGGGUCUAAUACCGGAUAGGAGCCAUUUCUAGUGUGAUGGUUGGAAAGUUUUUUCGGUGUAGGAUGAGCUCGCGGCCUAUCAGCUUGUUGGUGGGGUAAUGGCCUACCAAGGCGGCGACGGGUAGCCGGCCUGAGAGGGUGGACGGCCACAUUGGGACUGAGAGACGGCACAGACUCCGACGGGAGGCAGCAGUGGGGAAUAUUGCACAAUGGGCGCAAGCCUGAUGCAGCGACGCCGCGUGGGGGAUGACGGCCUUCGGGUUGUAAACUCCUUUCGCUAGGGACGAAGCUUUUUGUGACGGUACCUAGAUAAGAAGCACCGGCUAACUACGUG
rnacentral:rRNA from 1 species